rnacentral:rRNA from 1 species
CGCAUCUGUGCAUGCAGCAUAUCAAUAAGCGGAGGAAAAGAAACUAACAAGGAUUCCCCUAGUAACGGCGAGUGAAGCGGGAAGAGCUCAAAUUUGAAAUCUUAAAGGGUUUCCCUUUACGAAUUGUAGUUUAAAGAAGUGUUUUCUGUUGAGGUUUUGGUAAAAGUUCUUUGGAAUAGGACAUCAUAGAGGGUGAGAAUCCCGUAUUUGACCUUUACUUUCAACUUUGUGAUACACUUUCAAAGAGUCGGAUUGUUUGGGAAUGCAGUCCAAAAUGGGUGGUAAAUUUCAUCUAAAGCUAAAUAUUGGCGAGAGACCGAUAGCGAACAAGUACCGUGAGGGAAAGAUGAAAAGAACUUUGAAAAGAGAGUUAAACAGUACGUGAAAUUGUCAAAAGGGAAGCGUUUGACACCAGUGUUGUUUUUCUGAAAAUCAAUUAAAGAACUGUUUAUGCUAAGCUGUUUAGACUUUAUCAGCUAACUGUUUAGUUUUGAGCUUUUCUUAAAUGCACUUUUCAGUUAACAAGUCAACAUCAAUUUCUUUUGCUGUAAAAAAGCUUGAGGAAGGUGGCUUGAGAUUCGUCUUAAGUGUUUAUAGCCUCUUGCCUAUGCAGUCGGAGAGAUUGAGGUCUGCAGUGUAGAUCCUUCGGGGCUAAAUGCAUUUGUGCUAAGUUAUAGCAUUUUAUAGACAACUUGUUGACUAUGAUUUGUCUUGUAGCUUACUCGCUUAUGUUAUUUUACCUACGCUUAGGAUGUUGAACGCGCACAGAGUCUC